CCCUCUUCCUCACGCACGCACAGUCGUCUCUCUCCGCCUCGGUGGCAUUCCCGACUCUCUCGUUCUCUCUCUUCUCCCUUCUGCAUUCGCCUUUCUUGAGAACAUAAAAGAAAAAGCGAGCAGAGAGAGAGGGAGAGAGAGGGAGAGAAAGACAAAGGCGGAGAAAAGAACAAGAAAAAGGAAUAGAGGAGACAGGCUCGAAAGCAGCAAGUUGCGAGCCCAAGGCGGAGUCAGAAGCCUAAGAAAGAGGAGGGACGGGCUUACCAGGGUUUCUUCCUGCUCUCUCCGUCUCCUUCCGGAAUGCGGCCUCUGAUGCCAGCCAUCGGGAUCUUUCCUUCCCCUACGAGAAGGAGACAUGCGAGGAGAAAAAGGUACCAAGAUGAUGGUGGUCCGGGCUACAAUGACCAUGUGCUCCUGCAAUAAUAACAUGCCAGAUUCUCUAGUCCUGUUGAUUUCGGUAGCCGAUAUGCAUUAGACGAGGACAUGUUUGGAGAAUUCGGGAAUGAAGCCAUUGGUCCGCGAGACACCAUAUAUUUUGGGUCACUGUAAUUGACAUCCUCAAAUGUCGAUUUCUAGUUCAGUUAAAUGACGUAUUCUGUUUAGUUCUUCCAAUUCUCUGAAUUGUUGUUCCUGUUGAACCAAUGAGCUUCACCACGGUUUCUACACAGUGGCCUCUUGGUGGGAUGAUGCUAAAUGGUUGCAACAAGUAGUUCCUCGAAGAGCCAAGGUAUGAUUGUGUGAUGGUGCUGUGAAUUGUGUUCCCAGUAAGGAUGAUGCAGAGUUCGAAGAACUGGAAACUCUCGGUCAACAUCCGGUUCUUAAAUGUCUUUUUAAGGGUUGGGUAGGGUAUCACGGUAAGGAUGCAGAGUCAUAAUUCAUUUGCAGGACAUACACGUCUGUAUUAUGCUGGACGAGGGCUAUUAUGUUCUGAUCCACCAAUAUUAAUUCACUUUUU